AUUGAACGCUGGCGGCAGGCCUAACACAUGCAAGUCGAGCGGAUGAAGGGAGCUUGCUCCUGGAUUCAGCGGCGGACGGGUGAGUAAUGCCUAGGAAUCUGCCUGGUAGUGGGGGAUAACGUCCGGAAACGGGCGCUAAUACCGCAUACGUCCUGAGGGAGAAAGUGGGGGAUCUUCGGACCUCACGCUAUCAGAUGAGCCUAGGUCGGAUUAGCUAGUUGGUGGGGUAAAGGCCUACCAAGGCGACGAUCCGUAACUGGUCUGAGAGGAUGAUCAGCCACACUGGAACUGAGACACGGUCCAGACUCCUACGGGAGGCAGCAGUGGGGAAUAUUGGACAAUGGGCGAAAGCCUGAUCCAGCCAUGCCGCGUGUGUGAAGAAGGUCUUCGGAUUGUAAAGCACUUUAAGUUGGGAGGAAGGGCAGUAAGUUAAUUCCUUGCUGUUUUGACGUUACCAACAGAAUAAGCACCGGCUAACUUCGUG
rnacentral:rRNA from 1 species